UACGUAGGGUGCAAGCGUUAAUCGGAAUUACUGGGCGUAAAGCGUGCGCAGGCGGUUUUGUAAGUCUGUCGUGAAAUCCCCCGGGCUCAACCUGGGAAUUGCGAUGGAGACUGCAAGGCUAGAAUCUGGCAGAGGGGGGUAGAAUUCCACGUGUAGCAGUGAAAUGCGUAGAGAUGUGGAGGAACACCGAUGGCGAAGGCAGCCCCCUGGGUCAAGAUUGACGCUCAUGCACGAAAGCGUGGGGAGCAAACGAAGG
rnacentral:rRNA from 1 species